rnacentral:rRNA from 1 species
AGAGUUUGAUCCUGGCUCAGGAUGAACGCUAGCGGGAGGCUUAACACAUGCAAGUCGAGGGGUAACGAUUCAGAUUUUUGAAGGCGACGACCGGCGCACGGGUGAGUAACGCGUAUGCAACCUACCUCAAACAGGGGAAUAGCUCAGGGAAACCUGGAUUAAUGCCCCGUAAUAUUUAAAACUGGCAUCAGUUUAAAAUUAAAGCUCCGGCGGUUUGAGAUGGGCAUGCGUGACAUUAGCUAGUUGGUAAGGUAAAGGCUUACCAAGGCAACGAUGUCUAGGGGUUCUGAGAGGAUGAUCCCCCACACUGGUACUGAGACACGGACCAGACUCCUACGGGAGGCAGCAGUGAGGAAUAUUGGUCAAUGGGCGCAAGCCUGAACCAGCCAUCCCGCGUGUCGGAAGACUGACCUAUGGGUUGUAAACUACUUUUAUAAAGGAAGAAAAUUCUGUACGUGUACAGAACUGACGGUACCAUACGAAUAAGCAUCGGCUAACUCCGUGCCAGCAGCCGCGGUAAUACGGAGGAUGCAAGCGUUAUCCGGAUUUAUUAGGUUUAAAGGGUGUGUAGGCGGAGCAGUAAGUCAGUGGUGAAAUCCUGCGGCUUAACCGUAGAACUGCCAUUGAAACUACUGCCCUUGAGUACAGUUGAGGUAGGCGGAAUGUGUCAUGUAGCGGUGAAAUGCAUAGAGAUGACACAGAACACCGAUUGCGUAGGCAGCUUACUAAACUGUCACUGACGCUGAGGCACGAAAGCGUGGGGAGCGAACAGGAUUAGAUACCCUGGUAGUCCACGCCGUAAACGAUGAUCACUUAAUGCUGGCAAUACACUGUCAGCGGCCAAGCGAAAGUAUUAAGUGAUCCACCUGGGGAGUACGAUCGCAAGGUUGAAACUCAAAGGAAUUGACGGGGGCCCGCACAAGCGGUGGAGCAUGUGGUUUAAUUCGAUGAUACGCGAGGAACCUUACCUGGGCUUAAAUGCAAAACGACCGGCUGGGAAACCAGCCUUUCUUCGGACGGAUUGCAAGGUGCUGCAUGGUUGUCGUCAGCUCGUGCCGUGAGGUGUCGGGUUAAGUCCCUUAACGAGCGCAACCCUUAUCCUUAGUUGCCAGCGGGUAAUGCCGGGGACUCUAAGGAGACUGCCAGUGUAAACUGUGAGGAAGGUGGGGAUGACGUCAAAUCAGCACGGCCCUUAUGUCCAGGGCUACACACGUGUUACAAUGGCCGAUACAAAGGGCAGCUACCAGGUGACUGGAUGCUAAUCUCUAAAGUCGGUCUCAGUUCGGAUCGGAGUCUGCAACUCGACUCCGUGAAGUUGGAUUCGCUAGUAAUCGCGCAUCAGCCACGGCGCGGUGAAUACGUUCCCGGGCCUUGUACACACCGCCCGUCAAGCCAUGGAAGUUGGGGGUGCCUGAAGUCCGUAACCGCAAGGAGCGGCCUAGGUAAAACCAGUGACUGG